UAAGGAAUAUUGGUCAAUGGUGGAAACACUGAACCAGCCAUGCCGCGUGGAGGAAUAAGGUCCUACGGAUUGUAAACUCCUUUUGACGAGGAAGAAAGUGUUAGAUUUAUCUAAUUUUGACGGUACUCGUAGAAUAAGCACCGGCUAACUCCGUGCCAGCAGCCGCGGUAAUACGGAGGGUGCAAGCGUUAUCCGGAUUUACUGGGUUUAAAGGGUCCGCAGGUGGGGAGGUAAGUCAGUGGUGAAAUAC
rnacentral:rRNA from 1 species